rnacentral:rRNA from 1 species
GACGAACGCUGGCGGCGUGCCUAAUACAUGCAAGUCGAGCGAAUCUUUAGGAGCUUGCUCCUGAAGAUUAGCGGCGGACGGGUGAGUAACACGUGGGCAACCUGCCUGUAAGACUGGGAUAACUUCGGGAAACCGGAGCUAAUACCGGAUAAUCCUUUCCUUCACAUGAAGGAAAGCUGAAAGACGGUUUCGGCUGUCACUUACAGAUGGGCCCGCGGCGCAUUAGCUAGUUGGUGAGGUAACGGCUCACCAAGGCGACGAUGCGUAGCCGACCUGAGAGGGUGAUCGGCCACACUGGGACUGAGACACGGCCCAGACUCCUACGGGAGGCAGCAGUAGGGAAUCUUCCGCAAUGGACGAAAGUCUGACGGAGCAACGCCGCGUGAGCGAAGAAGGCCUUCGGGUCGUAAAGCUCUGUUGUCAGGGAAGAACAAGUACCGGAGUAACUGCCGGUACCUUGACGGUACCUGACCAGAAAGCCACGGCUAACUACGUGCCAGCAGCCGCGGUAAAAC